GAUGAACGCUAGCUACAGGCUUAACACAUGCAAGUCGAGGGGAAACGAUAGAGAAAGCUUGCUUUUUCUAGGCGUCGACCGGCGCACGGGUGAGUAACGCGUAUCCAACCUGCCCAUCACUUGGGGAUAACCUUGCGAAAGUAAGACUAAUACCCAAUGACGUCCAUAGAAGGCAUCUGAAAGGGAUUAAAGAUUUAUCGGUGAUGGAUGGGGAUGCGUCUGAUUAGCUUGUUGGCGGGGUAACGGCCCACCAAGGCGACGAUCAGUAGGGGUUCUGAGAGGAAGGUCCCCCACAUUGGAACUGAGACGCGGUCCAAACUCCUACGGGAGGCAGCAGUGAGGAAUAUUGGUCAAUGGGCGAGAGCCUGAACCAGCCAAGUAGCGUGCAGGAUGACGGCCCUAUGGGUUGUAAACUGCUUUUGUAAGGGAAUAAAGUGAGCCUCGUGAGGCUUUUUGCAUGUACCUUAUGAAUAAGGACCGGCUAAUUCCGUGCCAGCAGCCGCCGUAA
rnacentral:rRNA from 1 species